rnacentral:rRNA from 1 species
AACGAACGCUGGCGGCAUGCCUAACACAUGCAAGUCGAACGAUUGCCUUCGGGUUAUCGUGGCGCACGGGUGCGUAACGCGUGGGAAUCUGCCCUUAGGUUCGGAAUAACAGCUGGAAACGGCUGCUAAUACCGGAUGAUAUCGCGAGAUCAAAGAUUUAUCGCCUGAGGAUGAGCCCGCGUUGGAUUAGGUAGUUGGUGGGGUAAAGGCCUACCAAGCCGACGAUCCAUAGCUGGUCUGAGAGGAUGAUCAGCCACACUGGGACUGAGACACGGCCCAGACUCCUACGGGAGGCAUCAGUGGGGAAUAUUGGACAAUGGGCGCAAGCCUGAUCCAGCAAUGCCGCGUGAGUGAUGAAGGCCCUAGGGUUGUAAAGCUCUUUUACCCGGGAAGAUAAUGACUGUACCGGGAGAAUAAGCCCCGGCUAACUCCGUG